rnacentral:rRNA from 1 species
CCUACGGGCGGCAGCAGUGAGGAAUAUUGGUCAAUGGCCGGAAGUCUGAACCAGCCAAGCCGCGUGAAGGACGAAGGUGCCAAGCAUUGUAAACUUCUUUUGUCAAGGGACAAACUCAGGCACGAGAGCCUGACCGAGGGUACUUGAAGAAAAAGCAUAGGCUAACUCCGUGCCAGCAGCCGCGGUAAUACGGAGGAUGCGAGCGUUAUCCGGAUUUAUUGGGUUUAAAGGGUGCGUAGGCGGGCGGUUAAGUCAGCGGUAAAAGCCCGGGGCUCAACCCCGGCGAGCCGUUGAAACUGGCUGUCUUGAGAUGUCGAGAGGUAUGCGGAAUGCGCGGUGUAGCGGUGAAAUGCUUAGAUAUUGCGCAGAACUCCGAUUGCGAAGGCAGCAUACCGGCGGCGAUCUGACGCUGAGGCACGAAAGCGUGGGUAUCGAACAGGAUUAGAUACCCGAGUAGUC